rnacentral:rRNA from 1 species
AACGCUAGCUACAGGCUUAACACAUGCAAGUCGAGGGGCAGCAUGGUCUUAGCUUGCUAAGGCCGAUGGCGACCGGCGCACGGGUGAGUAACACGUAUCCAACCUGCCGUCUACUCUUGGACAGCCUUCUGAAAGGAAGAUUAAUACAAGAUGGCAUCAUGAGUCCGCAUGUUCACAUGAUUAAAGGUAUUCCGGUAGACGAUGGGGAUGCGUUCCAUUAGAUAGUAGGCGGGGUAACGGCCCACCUAGUCUUCGAUGGAUAGGGGUUCUGAGAGGAAGGUCCCCCACAUUAGAACUGAGACACGGUCCAAACUCCUACGGGAGGCAGCAGUGAGGAAUAUUGGUCGAUGGGCGAGAGCCUGAACCAGCCAAGUAGCGUGAAGGAUGACUGCCCUAUGGGUUGUAAACUUCUUUUAUAAAGGAAUAAAGUCGGGUAUGGAUACCCGUUUGCAUGUACUUUAUGAAUAAGGAUCGGCUAACUCCGUGCCAGCAGCCGCGGUAAUACGGAGGAUCCGAGCGUUAUCCGGAUUUAUUGGGUUUAAAGGGAGCGUAGAUGGAUGUUUAAGUCAGUUGUGAAAGUUUGCGGCUCAACCGUAAAAUUGCAGUUGAUACUGGAUGUCUUGAGUGCAGUUGAGGCAGGCGGAAUUCGUGGUGUAGCGGUGAAAUGCUUAGAUAUCACGAAGAACUCCGAUUG